UGGUUGUCCGGAUCGGGCUGCCGCGGCAGCCGGCGGGGUAGCGAGGUGGAGCAGUGUGGGAAGCCCCAAGCCCGUACCUCUGGGACUGAACGGCGGCGGGUGGGCUGCGGUCAGCCUCUGCAGGCCUGGGCAGGCCUCCUGAGAGUCUAGGGCGUAAGAGUUUUGGGGGGUUCGGAAAGCGGGCUGCGGACCCCCUGCCUGAGGCUUUGGUUUGAGCCCCGGAUCCGGCCUUGUGUUUCCUCGGAAGGAUGGCAUCUCAGUCUUUCCUGAAGUUGGACGCCAUGCAGAAUGCCAUGAGUUAGAAGCUGGAGGACGGAGGGCUUAGAGAUGCUUGAGGGACGUCCUUAACCUAUGUGAAAUGUUGGAGGUUGAGGUGAAAAAUAUGGCUUUGAUGUCUUCAUGGAAAACUGCAUUAUUUCAAUCCUGAAUCUGGUUCGGUUCCCUUAUUGACUUAUUACUAUAUUAAAAAUGUUUAUUUAGCAGUGAUUGUAAAAUGAAAGUAAUUAACAUGUACAUGUUUUUUGGGGGGGAGACUAAGGGGAAACAGGUGUUCAGCCUAGAAAAACAUUUCUCAUUGGAUUUCCUGUGAAGUCAGUGUGUCUUGGGUUUAACUUUGAAACAAAUUAAAAAAUUUUUAAAUUAAAAAAAAAGUUUACUUAACUAUGCUAUUUGUUCUGGUAAAACCUUGUGGUUUAAUAAGAAUUUUUGCAAAUAUCCAUUAUAUUCUUCUCUUGGUACAUAAAAGUGUUAAUAUUUUAAAAUCUAUAGGACAUUCUAUUUCAAAAUUUAGUUCUAUUAUCUUAGUGCUGUCAGAAAAUGUGCUUUGAAUUGCUGAAAUGAGUUGUAUUGGACAACACCUGUCUCAGCAGAGGCACUUAAAAAUCAUUUUCAUCCUU